ACUAGGCGAAUCCUUGGUUAAGAAAAUGACAAGGCAAUGGAGUCACCUGAUCGAGACCAGAUUGACCGUUACAUCACUUCUUCUGUCAAAAGUGCUUUCAUGAAGAUUGCACAUUCCAUAGAGAUUAAAGCAGACAAAUCACAUGAGCAUGUUUUAGCAUGUCUAGCCGAGGAGACAAAGAAGCUUUUGAAGAUAGAGA